CAGUUUCCUCAAAGUCGCCAACAACAGGAUCACACACAGUCUGUGGAAAGGACGAUGCAGAUGAUCCAGAUGGUCUGACGUAUGCAGUCGUCGUCACAAAACCCAGAAGGGACAAAGACGCUGCAGACGCUGGUGAUAAUCUGAGUCUCUGCACCGAGACGAACCACAGCAGAGAACCACAGACUGGAAAUGAUGAGGAAGAGUUCUCACAUCAACCUGUUUAUUCCACUGUCACCAUACGUCAGACUUCUUCAGCUCUUCAACCUGAAUCAGGAUUAUCCAGAGCCACAGUGUCCCUGAACCACACAGCAGCCAAAGACCCAG